UUCUUAUCCAGAGAGGUGUAGGGACUGGCCCGAUGAUACCUCAGCAACAGACUUGUAAAAGUACUGUGCUAAUUCCAGAAGCGUAAGUGUAAUGCUUACUGCUUGGAGAUGAGAA
rfam:Sporosarcina psychrophila strain DSM 6497, complete genome.